rnacentral:lncRNA from 12 species
AUUGCUUUUGAAGUAGAUCUACUUGGGACAUAAUGCCCAAACUCAAGAUGUGGUGAAUGUGCUACCACAAUUAUUUCAUUGUUGAAGAGCUUUCUUUGCCAGAAAAAGACAUCUAAGACAGAUGCUACUGUGACAAACAGCUUGAAACUCACUACAGUGGAUACUGAAAAAGUUAAUAGGGUAAACAAGAAUUUCGGUCCAAAUUCUUCUGGAAAAAAAUAUCCCCAAAAGAAAGGUCAAAAAAUAUCCUACUGAGAUAAGAGAGACCAGAAAACACAUAUGAGCUUGAAU